AUUGAACGCUGGCGGCAUGCCUUACACAUGCAAGUCGAAUGGUAACAGGUCUUCGGAUGCUGACGAGUGGCGAACGGGUGAGUAGUACAUCGGAACGUGCCUAGUAGUGGGGGAUAACUACUCGAAAGAGUGGCUAAUACCGCAUGAGAUCUACGGAUGAAAGCAGGGGAUCGCAAGACCUUGUGCCACUAGAGCGGCCGAUGGCAGAUUAGGUAGUUGGUGGGAUAAAAGCUUACCAAGCCGACGAUCUGUAGCUGGUCUGAGAGGACGAUCAGCCACACUGGGACGGAGACACGGCCCAGACUCCUACGGGAGGCAGCAGUGGGGAAUUUUGGACAAUGGGCGCAAGCCUGAUCCAGCAAUGCCGCGUGCAGGAUGAAGGCCUUCGGGUUGUAAACUGCUUUUGUACGGAACGAAAAGCCCCGGGUUAAUACCCUGGGGUCAUGACGGUACCGUAAGAAUAAGCACCGGCUAACUACGUGCCAGCCGCCGCUGUAA
rnacentral:rRNA from 1 species